rfam:Camelus ferus unplaced genomic scaffold scaffold884, whole genome shotgun sequence.
GAGAGUAUAGCUCAAAGUGGUAGAGCGCAUGCUUAGCAUGCACGAGGUCCUGGGUUCAAUCCUCAGUACCUCCU